GACGAACGCUGGCGGCGUGCUUAACACAUGCAAGUCGAACGGAAAGGCCCUGCUUUUGUGGGGUGCUCGAGUGGCGAACGGGUGAUUAACACGUGAGUAACCUGCCCUUGACUUUGGGAUAACUUCAGGAAACUGGGGCUAAUACCGGAUAGGAGCUCCUGUUGCAUGGUGGGGGUUGGAAAGUUUCGGCGGUUGGGGAUGGACUCGCGGCUUAUCAGCUUGUUGGUGGGGUAGUGGCUUACCAAGGCUUUGACGGGUAGCCGGCCUGAGAGGGUGACCGGCCACAUUGGGACUGAGAUACGGCCCAGACUCCUAAGGGAGGCAGCAGUGGGGAAUAUUGCACACUGGGCGGAAGCCUGAAGCAGCAACGCCGCGUGCGGGAUGACGGCCUUCGGGUUGUAAACCGCUUUCGCAUGUGACGAAGCGUGAGUGACGGUAAUGGGUAAAGAAGCACCGGAUAACUACGUG
rnacentral:rRNA from 1 species